GACGAACCGAGCGAACGUUAUUCGGAAUCACUGGGCUUAAAGCGUGCGCAGGCGGUUCGCUAAGACAGAUGUGAAAUCCCCGGGCUUAACCUGGGAACUGCAUUUGUGACUGGCGGGCUAGAGUAUGGCAGAGGGGGGUAGAAUUCCACGUGUAGCAGUGAAAUGCGUAGAGAUGUGGAGGAAUACCGAUGGCGAAGGCAGCCCCCUGGGCCAAUACUGACGCUCAUGCACGAAAGCGUGGGGAGCAAACAGG
rnacentral:rRNA from 1 species